rnacentral:rRNA from 1 species
GGUUAAGUGACUAAGCGUACACGGUGGAUGCCUAGGCAGUCAGAGGCGAUGAAGGGCGUGCUAAUCUGCGAAAAGCGUCGGUAAGGUGAUAUGAACCGUUAUAACCGGCGAUACCCGAAUGGGGAAACCCAGUGUGUUUCGACACACUAUCAUGUCAUGAAUACAUAGUGGCAUGAGGCGAACCGGGGGAACUGAAACAUCUAAGUACCCCGAGGAAAAGAAAUCAACCGAGAUUCCCCCAGUAGCGGCGAGCGAACGGGGAGGAGCCCAGAACCUGAAUCGGCUUGUGUGUUAGUGGAAGCGUCUGGAAAGUCGCGCAGCAAAGGGUGAUAGCCCCGUACACUAAAAUGCACAGGUCGUGAGUUCGAUGAGUAGGGCGGGACACGUGACAUCCUGUCUGAAUAUGGGGGGACCAUCCUCCAAGGCUAAAUACUCCUGACUGACCGAUAGUGAACCAGUACCGUGAGGGAAAGGCGAAAAGAACCCCGGCGAGGGGAGUGAAAUAGAACCUGAAACCGUGUACGUACAAGCAGUGGGAGCACCUUCGUGGUGUGACUGCGUACCUUUUGUAUAAUGGGUCAGCGACUUAUAUUUUGUAGCAAGGUUAACCGUAUAGGGGAGCCGUAGGGAAACCGAGUCUUAACUGGGCGAAUAGUUGCAAGGUAUAGACCCGAAACCCGGUGAUCUAGCCAUGGGCAGGUUGAAGGUUGGGUAACACUAACUGGAGGACCGAACCGACUAAUGUUGAAAAAUUAGCGGAUGACUUGUGGCUGGGGGUGAAAGGCCAAUCAAACCGGGAGAUAGCUGGUUCUCCCCGAAAGCUAUUUAGGUAGCGCCUCGUGAACUCAUCUUCGGGGGUAGAGCACUGUUUCGGCUAGGGGGCCAUCCCGGCUUACCAAACCGAUGCAAACUCCGAAUACCGAAGAAUGUUAUCACGGGAGACACACGGCGGGUGCUAACGUCCGUCGUGAAGAGGGAAACAACCCAGACCGCCAGCUAAGGUCCCAAAGUCAUGGUUAAGUGGGAAACGAUGUGGGAAGGCAUAGACAGCCAGGAUGUUGGCUUAGAAGCAGCCAUCAUUUAAAGAAAGCGUAAUAGCUCACUGGUCGAGUCGGCCUGCGCGGAAGAUGUAACGGGGCUAAACCAUGCACCGAAGCUGCGGCAGCGACGCUUAGCGUUGUUGGGUAGGGGAGCGUUCUGUAAGCCGUUGAAGGUGGCCUGUGAGGGUUGCUGGAGGUAUCAGAAGUGCGAAUGCUGACAUAAGUAACGAUAAAGCGGGUGAAAAGCCCGCUCGCCGGAAGACCAAGGGUUCCUGUCCAACGUUAAUCGGGGCAGGGUGAGUCGACCCCUAAGGCGAGGCUGAAAAGCGUAGUCGAUGGGAAACAGGUUAAUAUUCCUGUACUUGGUGUUACUGCGAAGGGGGGACGGAGAAGGCUAGGCUAGCCGGGCGACGGUUGUCCCGGUUUAAGCGUGUAGGGGGUGUGACCUGGUAAAUCCGGUUGCAUACUAACCCUGAGGCGUGAUGACGAUGCACUACGGUGCAGAAGUAGUUGAUGCCCUGCUUCCAGGAAAA